rnacentral:rRNA from 1 species
ACGAACGCUGGCGGCGUGCUUAACACAUGCAAGUCGAACGGUGAAGGGACCGGUUUUUGCUGGUUCUGGAUGAGUGGCGAACGGGUGAGUAACACGUGAGUAACCUGCCCCCUUCUUCUGGAUAACCGCAUGAAAGUGUGGCUAAUACGGGAUAUUCUGCGCCCGCUGCAUGGUGGGUGUGGGAAAGAUAUUGUUUCGGUGGGGGAUGGGCUCGCGGCCUAUCAGCUUGUUGGUGGGGUGAUGGCCUACCAAGGCGGUGACGGGUAGCCGGCCUGAGAGGGUGGACGGUCACACUGGGACUGAGACACGGCCCAGACUCCUACGGGAGGCAGCAGUGGGGAAUAUUGCACAAUGGGCGCAAGCCUGAUGCAGCGACGCCGCGUGAGGGAUGGAGGCCUUCGGGUUGUAAACCUCUUUCGCCAGUGAAGCAGGCCUGUCCCUUUUGUGGGUGGGUUGACGGUAGCUGGAUAAGAAGCGCCGGCUAACUACGUG